rnacentral:rRNA from 1 species
CAGUGAUCACUUUAACGGCCGCGGUACCCUGACCGUGCAAAGGUAGCAUAAUCAUUUGCCUUUUAAUUGGAGGCUAGUAUGAAUGGUCUAACGAGAGUAAAACUGUCUCAUAUAUACUUAAUAGAAAUUAACCUAAAGGUGCAAAGGCCUUUAUCUAUCAAAAAGACGAGAAGACCCUGUUGAGCUUUAAUCCUAACGAGCAUUUUCCCUAUAUUUAUAAAUUUAUUUUGCUCAUUAAAGAUUUUAAUUGGGGCGAUUAAGGAACACCCGCGAGCUUCCUGAUUAUAAAUUAAAUCGACCCAGCAAUGCUGAUCAACAAAACGAGUUACCACAGGGAUAACAGCAUAAUUCUUCUUAAGAGCCCAUAUCGAAAGAAGAGAUUGUGACCUCGAUGUUGGACUAGGGUAACUAGAAGGUGCAGCCGCUUUCUUGUUUGGUCUGUUCGACCAAUAAUUCCCU